UCCAGCAAGGGGCAGCCUUGUCCAAGGUCCUUGCUCAGUCCUUUCCUGGUAAGGCCCAGGGAGCUUUCCAAUCCUGCGGUCACCAGCCCUGUCCCUGUUGCCACUGUGCGUCCUGGGCUCCCAGCUGCUGCUGAGCUGCCUUCCGAGUCAUGAAUUAUGAAUGGGGCAGCAGGCUCCAGUGACAAGCCCGGCCUGGAGAACAUGCCAAGGACACCAAGUGUCCCUCCGUCGCCAGGUGGCCUGACCCACCCCCUCUUCAGGGAGACCUGGGGUCCCCCCAGCAAGACCCCAUCUCGGCAUUCUCUCUUGUUUUGCAGAUGGGGAAACUGAGGCAUAGAGCCGGACAGUGACUCAGAUACCAGGAGCUGCCCAGUGUGGAGCUGAGUGCUCAGGACUGGACUCAGCAGGCUCAGAGUGCAAAUCUAUCCGUUCCUGACUGUGUGACCUG